AUGAAGACCCAUCUCUACCUUCUCCUGCUGGCUGCAGGCAUCUCUGCUGCUCCCCAGAUGAGCAGCAUGGCUGAAUUACUGACACUACUACAGCAAAUGUGUGAAGUGAUGACAAAGGACAUUCAGAAUCUGAGGAUUGAAACUCCCAACAAUAUAGAUGAUGUGAAUUGUAUCAGCACAAUCUUCGAAGGAAUGGAACAGCUGAAAAAUAAUCCAGCUAUGAAAAAAUUCAGUGCUUUUUUCCAGAAUUUUGAAAAACUGAAGCAAUGGCUCAUACCAAACAUGGCAAAAGAGGGGAAAUGUGAUACAGAAAGAAGGAGCACAACAAUAUUUAUAAAAAAGCUGAUGACAUUCAUCCGAAAAGUGUUAAAAAACACAAGACGGGAGAAUUAGAAGUUUCUAAAAUUGCUGUAAAUUUAUAUGAGCAGUAAAAUCUUUCCUUAUUUAAGAAGUGUUCCUCCUUUGCGUCAAAAUUUGGCAGGGCACACCUUCAGUGUCAGUGGUACUGCACUGGUUCGUGUUUGGCAUCUCAAAGUAUUUGGUGGCAAAAUGGCAUUUGUACUUUGAGACAAACAUUUAAAUGCUUGAAAAACCAAAUCAUGCAGGCGAUUACAGAAGGACCUGACUAGGCAUAAAAUCUCUGUUUCUCAUGAAGAGUUAAUUUCUGAGUCACAGGGAGACCGAGUAGGGGUGGGUGUGAGCAGGAGCAGCUGGCUCACAGCACACCCCUCAUCCGACCACACCUGGCCCCCAGGCCUCGCUGUGCCAUCAGCACCGAGUGAGAGAUGAUACAGGAUGUGGAUGUUGUCCCCUUUGCCCUGCCUGGAAACCAGACUGGGCCAGUGCAGGGGGAACAGCAACAUGGGACACUCAGAAUGCCCUUCUAACUUUGAAGUUUAAGGUCAGGUUUCUACUGGAAUGUUUUACUGCUCUCACAUAACCUCCAUAUUCCAUAAGCACUGAGAAACACAUCCUGGGGUUUUACUCUUACCUGCAGCUUUGGUACACCAGUGUAAAAUUGACAACUAAAGAUGUGUAAGGAUCUAAACAUACAGCACUUAGAGAAUUAAUGGGUUUUUUGUAAUGUUAAUGGAUAGGAGUAUUUAGAACAGUACACAUUUAUUUAUAUUGUUUCAAUUAAGUUAUAUUUUAUAGACAAAAGGGUUUUGGAGAAAAUAUUUAUUCUGUAUUUUUACUAAUUUUAAUUAAGUGAAUAAUUGUUUGUCUCUGCCUUUCUCCCUUCUCUUAUCCCUCCAAUUUCUUCCAAGCUAUUCAGGAAAUCUAGUUAUCAGUCAGGGGAAUUAGAUCCUUGAGGUGAGUGAGCAAAUGUAUUACUGAAAGCUAUUUCCAAUUAUACAUGAGUUAAAAACCAGAGAGUCCAUUAAGGUACCCACCUCUGCAACAGAGCUGAGCUCACACGUUCCCUCUGGGUCCCUGGACGAUGUUUGCUUUUCUUUUUUUCCCUAUUAAUAGCCCAGCAUAAAUUAAUUUAUUUAAAAAUAGAUAUAUAGGAGAAAGAA